CCCGGUACGUCCCGGAGUAGUCGCGGAAGUAGCUCGGCUCACCAUCAUCGGGUGCACGCGAAGGAUGAGCGCGGCACCGAUCUCGUCCAGCGAAUAUAGCUGGAGAUCCAUGUCCCACCAGAGCAACGGGAUCGGUGAUGGCGGGGCUUUCAG
rnacentral:misc_RNA from 1 species